AGAAAAAAACAGAAAGACUCAAGCUAUGAGGAAGUCACACCUUACUAAUCACAGGAAACACAGUAUAUAUAUGCACAACGUUUAUGUGCAAAACUCAAGUUCAGAGCAUGAAAUCAAGAGAUAGAGAAGGCAGAGAGUAAUAAUAAUGGCUGCAUUCAAGCGGAUUAAAAUAUUUUUGCUUGUGAUACCAGUGCUUCAGUUCACAGCAGUAACUGUACAACAUCCAAGUCCGUUUGCUGUCAUAGCUGGAUAUGGCGUCCAUCUGCGAUGUAAAAAUGUGACAGAUAACUCGGGGAAAUGUGAUGAUAUUACCUGGAUCUUCAGUUCCUCAGUCAACACAGUGACACUGUUUGAACAUGGAAAGAUUCAUGAAGAUGCCAAAGCUAAAUCAGUCAAACUGAGUCUUUCAGGGGACUGUUCUCUGGAUAUAAACAAGGUCACAGCUGAGGAUUCUGGUCAUUAUACCUGCAGACAGUUCAACAAACCAGGACAGAAACAUGGGCAGGACCCAGAGUAUGUUCUGUCUGUUGUUAACGGUGAGAGCACAAAAACAACCACAACCAAACCAACAACGACAACAACAACAAUUAAAUCAACCUCCACAAGUGCGACUAGAUCAACAACAACAACGGCAACAGAAGCACAGACAAACACAACAGUAUCUGCAGUCAGCGACCCACCAACAGAAUCACAAGUUUGGUGGAGGGUCACCAUGGCUGUGUGUUUAGCAGCACUCAUAAUAACUGUUGUGACAGUCAAGACAUGCAAGAGAUCAGACGAUGACACAACACAGAUGGACGAAAACAUUGGACUGACUUCCAGCCCUGCAGAGACUCAGACGGCUCCAGAAACCAGUCAGGACAUGGCUGAUCCUGAAGAAGGUGUUUGCUACACCUCCAUCACUUACACCAAGAAGACCAAGAGUAAAGCCCAGGUUCCAGAUAAAGUUGACACUGAUGAUGAUGAUCAAUGCAGUGCAGUGAUCUACAGUACUGUGAAAUGUUCCUCCUCUUCUGUUGGAGCCUCCACUGAUGUCAGCGACCUCUACGCUACCGUCAACAAACUGAACAAAUAAGAUCUCACUCAUUUAAUGCAGCAUGUUAUUUAUGGGAUUCCAUUUGUGAUUCAUGGAAAAAAACACAGACGGAUGAAAACAGUGUGUGUGAUGAUGAAGAUGAUGGUAGAGUGACUUAUGAAAACAUCAGAUCUUCUGAUGGAGUUUGACUGAAUCUUCUGCCUCUGUCAGACUCCACUGAUCAGCACAACAUGAAGAAAUGAGUCCAUUUCAGCUGCAUCAGUGCAGUUUACCUGAGGAACUGAAGCUUUGAAAGAACAGAAACAGUCAAAGAUCAUUUUUAGAGAGUUAUUAUUUAGAGUUUCGUCUGACUUGGACAACAAUAUUCAAGUCUUGAUUUCAUCUCAUGUGUCUUUUCCUGCAUCAGCUGUUCAAACUUUUCUCAUCUGUGUCCAGAUCAGGUUUUAAAUUCACCAAACAGGGAGGAGAAUUUAACACUCGCUUUGAGCUCAAUUUUUGUGUGAACAGAGGUCCAGAGGUCACAGAGGUCACAGAGGUCACAGAGGUCACAGAGGUCACAGAGGUCAGGGGCCCCGGGACCAGAGCAGUUUAAGCUGCUGACUAUCACUCAGUUAGAGGGAGAUUGUACCUGCUCACCAAAGUUAAAUAGAGCAACAACAGGUGUUCAAGGCACAGAGUUGGAAUGACAGAGGCUCCAUUCUCCCUAUUAGAAGUCAGUGUACCAUCAAAAUGAAUGCUAAAGUCAGAUAGUUACAUAAUGUUACUUUAAAUUUAGUUAAAUUGAUAUUGCUGUGUUACUUCUAAUUUUUUCUUUAAUUAAUGUUUAACUGUGUUUUUUAUGUCAAUUAUUUUAAUGAUCAUUUUCAGGAUUUAUUGCUGUAAGUUGCCUUGUUGUCCAGCAGGGGGAGUAGUAGGUUCACUAGCAGGACAAUGUGAAAAGCAUAAGUAAUAACCCAACACCACAUGGCUGCUUGAAAUGUAAAUAAGCUUUCUUUAUGUUCUGAUGUGAAAGUCAUUAAAGCAAAGAGGAAGUGGAACAA